rnacentral:rRNA from 1 species
AGCGCGGGGGCGGGCUGCUUAUGCAUGCAAGUCGUACGACUCUGGGUAUUGAUUGGUGCUUGCAUCAUGAUUUACAUUGGAGAAAAUGGCGAACUGGUGAGUAACACGUGGGAAACCUGCCCAGAAGCGGGGGAUAACACCUGGAAACAGAUGCUAAUACCGCAUAACAACUUGGACCGCAUGGUCCGAGCUUGAAAGAUGGCUUCGGCUAUCACUUUUGGAUGGUCCCGCGGCGUAUUAGCUAGAUGGUGGGGUAACGGCUCACCAUGGCAAUGAUACGUAGCCGACCUGAGAGGGUAAUCGGCCACAUUGGGACUGAGACACGGCCCAAACUCCUACGGGAGGCAGCAGUAGGGAAUCUUCCACAAUGGACGAAAGUCUGAUGGAGCAACGCCGCGUGAGUGAAAAAGGGUUUCGGCUCGUAAAACUCUGUUGUUAAAGAAGAACAUAUCUGAGAGUAACUGUUCAGGUAUUGACGGUAUUUAACCAGAAAGCCACGGCUAACUACGUGCCAGCAGCCGCGGUAAUACGUAGGUGGCAAGCGUUGUCCGGAUUUAUUGGGCGUAAAGCGAGCGCAGGCGGUUUUUUAAGUCUGAUGUGAAAGCCUUCGGCUCAACCGAAGAAGUGCAUCGGAAACUGGGAAACUUGAGUGCAGAAAAGGACAGUGAAAACUCCAUGUGUAGCGGUGAAAUGCGUACAUAUAUGGAAGAACACCCGUGGCGAAGGCGGCUUGUCUGGCCUGUAACUGACGCUGAGGCUCGAAAGUAUGGGUAGGCAAACAGGAUUAGAUACCCUGGGUAGGCCCAUACCCGUAAACGAUGAAUGCUAAGUUGUUGGGAGGGUUUUCCGCCCUUCAGUGCUGCAGCUAACGCAUUAAAGCUUUCCGCCUGGGGGAGUACGGCCGCAAGGCUUGAAACUCAAAGGAAUGGACGGGGGGCCCCGCACACAGCCGGGGGGAAGCAUGUGGUUUUAUUUCAAGCCUACGCGAAAAACUUUACAGGGUCUUUGACCUACUAUGCAAAUCUUAAAAAAUUAAAACGUUUCCCUUCCCGGGAAACAUGGGAAUAACAGGGUGGGGGCAUGGGUUGUCGUACAA